rnacentral:tRNA from 1 species
AUUUUAUAAAUAUAUAUUUGUAUAUUUGGCUUCCAACCAAAAAGAUUAAGUUUUCUUAAAUAAAAUA